rnacentral:rRNA from 1 species
GAUCCCCACUGCGCCUGCCUACUAUCUAGCGAAGCCGCAGCCACGGGAGCGGUCUUGGGCUAAUCAGCGGGGAAAGAAGGCCCUGUUGAGUUUGGCUCCAGUCUGACACUGUGAAAUGACUUCGGUGGUGUAGCGUUAGUGGGAGCUUUGGCGAU